ACGGGUGAGUAACACGUGGGCAACCUGCCCUUGAGACUGGGAUAACUUCGGGAAACCGGAGCUAAUACCGGAUAAUAUAAGGAACCUCCUGGUUCCUUGUUGAAUGAUGGUUUCGGCUAUCACUUAAGGAUGGGCCCGCGGCGCAUUAGCUAGUUGGUGAGGUAACGGCUCACCAAGGCGACGAUGCGUAGCCGACCUGAGAGGGUGAUCGGCCACACUGGGACUGAGACACGGCCCAGACUCCUACGGGAGGCAGCAGUAGGGAAUCUUCCACAAUGGACGAAAGUCUGAUGGAGCAACGCCGCGUGAGUGAUGAAGGCCUUCGGGUCGUAAAGCUCUGUUGUUAGGGAAGAACAAGUGCGAGAGUAACUGCUCGCACCUUGACGGUACCUAACCAGAAAGCCACGGCUAACUACGUGCCAGCAGCCGCGGUAAUACGUAGGUGGCAAGCGUUAUCCGGAAUUAUUGGGCGUAAAGCGCGCGCAGGUGGUUUCUUAAGUCUGAUGUGAAAGCCCACGGCUCAACCGUGGAGGGUCAUUGGAAACUGGGGAACUUGAGUGCAGAAGAGGAAAGUGGAAU
rnacentral:rRNA from 1 species